GACAGAGGGUGCAAACGUUGUUCGGAAUUACUGGGCGUAAAGCGUGUGUAGGCGGCUUGGUAAGUCGGAUGUGAAAGCCCUGGGCUCAACCCAGGAAGUGCACUCGAUACUGCUAGGCUUGAGUCUCGGAGAGGUUGGUGGAAUUCCAGGUGUAGAGGUGAAAUUCGUAGAUAUCUGGAGGAACACCGGUGGCGAAGGCGGCCAACUGGACGAAGACUGACGCUGAGACACGAAAGCGUGGGGAGCAAACAGG
rnacentral:rRNA from 1 species